rnacentral:piRNA from 1 species
UGAGAGCUGAAGAGAAUGUACAGAGU